ACAUUGAUUUUAGUCUUUGGACAGAAAAACAACUUGUAAGUGGUACUCUUGGUGUAGUGAUCAAACAUAGACAAUAAACUCCUGUCAAAUAUUAAGUCUUCCUUUGGGCCAACUUAAUAUUCACAUGGAAAACCAAAUAAUUAUCUCAUAUUUAUCACCACAAGAAUGUUGGAAUUCCUGCCAAAUAACAACCUUCCUUUGGGCCGGUGUUAAACGCAUGGAAGACUAACAUCCACAGUCAUCUUAUAUUUCAAGAUUAAACAAUCUACACAAUAGAGGUUACUUUGGCAACAUAAUG
rnacentral:lncRNA from 1 species